GCAGAGUGCACUUAGAGGUGACCAGUGCGGGCCACUCUGUCCUGCCAGAAACCAGCCUCCUGUUUAAUUGUUUUGCUGUCUCCAGAGAUGGCCACUGUAAAGAAAGCCAAGCACGAAGACAUGUAAGUCAUCAUCUUUGGAGAGGAGAAAUAUGUGUUAUCUGAGGAGAAGGACUUGAAUCAUCAUUUGCAAAUGACAGACUAAUCACUGCGCUAACUCAAUGAUCCGGAAGAGUCUAGAGACUGGAGAAUUUUGCCAAUUAGAAAACAGACACAGCUAAACUACAUCUAGAGAUGUUUACCCAGGAAGUAACAGAACAAAUAAACAAAGCGGGAAAUAUCAAGCUGUACAUUGAAGAAGUAUGACAGUAAAAAUAGGAAAUGACUCAAGUGUUCUAGGCAAUAAGAAUGAUACUAAGAUAAAUUUUAAUUCAUUUGUUCUAUGAAGUGCUACUUAUUCAUUAAAACUAAUGCAGAUCUAUUAUUUCCUCAGAUAAAAAUUCACAGUGUGUUGUUACAUGUAUAUGAAAAUAUAUGCAGGUGUAGUAUAUGUCUAUACAUUUCCACAUAGAGUACUUGUGAUAGUUGUGGGUGACUAGGAAUAUUAUUUUUGUUUAUGAUUAUCUAUGUCUUUAACUCUUCUCUACUAAAAACUUAGAUUGAAAAAGCAUGAAACCCAAGUACUUAAAACUGUCUCCCAUAGAUUUUCCCCAUUUCCUUUUAUCUUAGUAAGAUGUAUCUUAGCACGCAUGUGAGUAUAGAAAUCAAACAUUGUUCUGACCAAACCUACACUAUAUUUGAAGAUUGAAAUUGAGGAAGGGGCUUGUUGUUAUUUCUGCUCAAUGUUGCAAACUCCUCAUUUGAUGAUGUUUCACUGUCUGCCGCUUCUCUGUGUCUGCUACUUUUAUUCUUUUACUUUUGCUUGCCAUGUACAUAAUCAACUCAUUCAUUAAAGCCCCAAGUGUGGCUAUCACAAUCACUCUCCAGUCUGUAAAGAACAGAUGUAAGAUGUAUCAUUGACAAAUAAACACAAAUUCCUUUAAAAUA